UACGAAGGGGGCUAGCGUUGCUCGGAAUCACUGGGCGUAAAGCGCACGUAGGCGGAUUGCUAAGUCAGGGGUGAAAUCCUGGAGCUCAACUCCAGAACUGCCUUUGAUACUGAGAAGCUUGAGUCCGGGAGAGGUGAGUGGAACUGCGAGUGUAGAGGUGAAAUUCGUAGAUAUUCGCAAGAACACCAGUGGCGAAGGCGGCUCACUGGCCCGAUACUGACGCUGAGGUGCGAAAGCGUGGGGAGCAAACAGG
rnacentral:rRNA from 1 species